ACUCAAAUGAAUUGACGGGGACCCGCACAAGUGGUGGAGCAUGUGGUUUAAUUCGAAGAUACACGAAGAACCUUACCUGGCCUUGACAUGGUAGGAACCCUUAAGAGAUUAGGGGGUGCUAGCUUGCUAGAACCUACACACAGGUGCUGCACGGCUGUCGUCAGCUCGUGUCGUGAGAUGUUGGGUUAAGUCCCGCAACGAGCGCAACCCUCGUCGUUAGUUGCUAACAGUUCGGCUGAGCACUCUAACGAGACUGCCUUCGCAAGGAGGAGGAAGGUGAGGACGACGUCAAGUCAUCAUGGCCCUUACGGCCAGGGCUACACACGUGCUACAAUGGGGCGUACAAAGAGCUGCAAUACCGCGAGGUGGAGCCAAUCUCUUAAAGCGUCUCUCAGUUCGGAUUGUUCUCUGCAACUCGAGAACAUGAAGCUGGAAUCACUAGUAAUCGUAGAUCAGCUAUGCUACGGUGAAUACGUUCCCGGGUCUUGUACACACCGCCCGU
rnacentral:rRNA from 1 species